UACGUAGGGAGCAAGCGUUGUUCGGAUUUACUGGGCGUAAAGGGCGCGUAGGCGGCGCGGUAAGUCACUUGUGAAAUCUCUGAGCUUAACUCAGAACGGCCAAGUGAUACUGCAGUGCUAGAGUGCAGAAAGGGCAAUCGGAAUUCUUGGUGUAGCGGUGAAAUGCGUAGAUAUCUGGAGGAACACCGGUGGCGAAGGCGGCAUCCUGGACCGGUAUUGACGCUGAGGCGCGAAAGCCAGGGGAGCAAACGGG
rnacentral:rRNA from 1 species